GAUUGUUUUAACUUUAUAUGCUUUGUUCAACGUGAAUUGAAAGUGAUUGUGGAUGAUGUGGUUCACAGAGUACAAUGAGUCUGUGUAGCUGCUUUGGAUUCUUGCUGUUUGUCCUCCACAAUCUCCCAGGCACCACAGAGGAUUUCUUCCUAGAUUCGUCUCAUUCUGCUUUUCCCAUCACCUUCGGUUUGGGAGUCAUCUUCAUGUCUGUUAUUUUAGUCGUUUUUGCUGCAUAUAAAUGGAAACAAAACAAAAACAGAAACAAAGAGAGGGAGCACCUUAAGACAACUGAGAAGAAUUCAAUCAAGGCUUUCCAUACAGGACAAAGAGACAAUGAGACCAAGAAUUUGGAGGAUGAAAUUGAUGAAAUUCAGCCUCUCCGAGACCAGAAUCAGAGCAUGGAGAACGAGCUGCAGACCUUGAAGAGAGAGCUGGAGACCAACAAAAAACAGUUGGAGGAUAAAAUAGAUGAAAUGCAGCAUCUCCGAGACCAGAAUCAGAGCAUGGAGAAUGAGCUGCAGACCUUGACGAGAGAGCUGGAGACCAACAAAAAACAGCUGGAGAAACCUAAGAGUAUAAGAGACACCAUUGAAGGAAUGCGGGACUCUUUUUCACAACUGAAGUUCCACCUUGCCAAUCUCAGGAUGCGGAAAUUGGAAGAUGAAAAAGAUGAAAUGCAUCUCCGAAACAAGAAUCAGAGCAUGCAGAAAGAGCUGCAGACACUGAGGACAGAGCUGGAGACCAACAAAAAACAGCUGGAGAGUAUAAGAGACACCAUUGAAGGAUUUCGGGACUCUUUUCCACAACUGAAGUUCACCCUUGCCAAUCUCAGGAUGCGGAAAUUGGAGGAUGAAGUAGAUGAAAUUCAACAUCUCCGAGACCAGAAUCAGGGCAUGGAGAACAAGCUGCAGACCCCGAGGAGAGAGCUGGUGCAUGACAAAAAACAGUUGGAGGAUGAAAUCGAUGAAAUUCAGCAUCUCCGAGACCAGAAUCAGAGCAUGGGGAACGAGCUGCAGACCUUGAAGAGAGAGCUGGAGACCAACAAAAAACAGUCAGCUGACAAGGCCAGGGGGCAGACCUUUGAGGAGCUUAAGAACACCCAGUUUGAACUGGAGAAAAAGACUGCGGAGAUCAGGAACCUGCGGAGAGAGUUUGAUGACAGACUCAGGGAAGAGAAUCAGAGUAAAGAGAAAUGCCUGCAGACCCUGAAGGAGGAGCUGGAGAGCAAGAACAAGGAGCUUUGUGAGUCCAAGCUUCAGUUCGAAUCUCUCAUGAAGAAGAAUCAGGAGUUUGAGAGAAAGCUGACUGAACUUAGAGAGCUGCACAAGCAGGUGUUAAAGAAGAUGGUCGAGGAUGAGCAGCAGAGGACGGAGGAAGUACAAAAGGAAGUGGAGACCCUGAAGAUGGAGCUGGAGAAGAAGAAGGACGAGAAAAGCCAAGCAGGGGAGUCAGAUGUUCAGAAAUCUCUGAUAGUAUGUGACAGCUCUGGAGAAGAACAUUUAGUGUCAGAGGAACAGAGUAAAGCAGCGGAGAUGGCUGAAGAAUUACCAAAUGUUGCAAAAGAAGUUGUGAACUGACAAUCUGUACAACAAGCAGAAUCCAGUGAUUUGUUUGAUUUGGAGCUAUUAUGUACAUAUUCAGUGCAAAAGAAGUAGUGUGAUGCAGUUUGGGAAGUUUAAAUUGUUUGAUGACUGACUGCACUAAAAGUACAUAAACAAUUCUGAAAAAAAAAUAAAAACAUACUUGUAUUUAUACCUUAAACAGCCUUUUAAUAUAUAUGACUAUAAUAUAAUAUUCAUCACUGCUAUUUUUAAUUGCCUUACUCUAUGUUGUUACUGUAACAGUUUAAUAAAAUAAUUACUUCUGUG
rnacentral:lncRNA from 1 species